ACCUCGUGGUUGGGACAUUGCAUGAUUUUUCCCUUGAACUUAUCCCAUACUUUAUACAAGGAUUCUCCAUUCAAUUGCCUAAAGUUCAUAAUCUUAUCACGCAAUU